rnacentral:tmRNA from 1 species
GAAGUGCGAUAAGCGGGUAGAGGUUGGGGAACCUCUUGAAUCAUCCCUAAACUUAAAUUAAACGCUAACAACGAAUUAGCUCUCGCUGCCUAAGUGCGGCGAUGUCCCCUCGGAGAGCGCCACGGCUCCGAGCUGCCCCACACGGGGAAUGCCCUUAUUUGGCAUUUGACAUCAUAUGAGUGGCGAACGUGAACGGAUGGUUGCUUUUGAGUCCGUCAUGCAUAAAAAAGCUGCCUUGUGCUUAGCCUGACAUCCGGCGAAGUAUAAGGGAGAUUUAAAAGAAUGUCUGCACCCGGAGAAAGUUGCGUGGAUAGGUUUUCGGACGCGGGUUCGACUCCCGCCGGUUCCAUAA